GACUUCAACUCAUAUGUGAU
rnacentral:rRNA from 1 species